rnacentral:rRNA from 1 species
AUUGAACGCUGGCGGAAUGCUUAACACAUGCAAGUCGAGCGGGGUGUAGCAAUACACCUAGCGGCGGACGGGUGAGGAAUACAUAGGAAUCUGCCUCAGAGCGGGGGAUAGCCCGGGAAACCCGGAUUAAUACCGCAUGAUGUCGCAAGACCAAAGUGGGGACCGCAAGGCCCCACACUCUGAGAUGAGCCUAUGUCCGAUUAGCUAGUUGGCGGGUAAUAGCCCACAAGCGACGAUCGUAGCUGGUCUGAGAGGACGAUCAGCCACACCGGAACUGAGACACGGUCCGGACUCCUACGGGAGGCAGCAGUGGGGAAUAUUGGACAAUGGCGCAAGCCUGAUCCAGC